CGAAGGAUGCAAGCGUUAUCCGGAUUCAUUGGGUUUAAAGGGUGCGUAGGCGGACUUGUAAGUCAGUGGUGAAAUCUCUCAGCUUAACUGAGAAACUGCCAUUGAUACUGCAGGUCUAGAGUAUAGAUGACGUUGGCGGAAUAUGACAUGUAGUGGUGAAAUACUUAGAUAUGUCAUAGAACACCGAUUGCGGAGGCAGCUAACGAAACUAUAACUGACGCUGAGGCACGAAAGUGCGGGGAUCAAACAGGAUUAGAUACCCUGGUAGUCCGCACCGUAAACGAUGAUUACUCGUUGUUGGCGAUAUGACAGUCAGCGACCAAGCGAAAGCGAUAAGUAAUCCACCUGGGGAGUACGCCGGCAACGGUG
rnacentral:rRNA from 1 species